rnacentral:rRNA from 1 species
CAAUAGCGUAUAUUAAAGUUGUUGCGGUAAAAAAGCUCGUAGUUGGAUUUCUACCGAAGAUAGCCGGUCGGGUCUUCGACCUUGUAUCUGGUUUUGUCCUUGGUAUCCUCAUAGGGAACGUUUCUGCGCUUUAUUGCGUGGUGCGGUAUCUAUGACUUUUACUUUGGGGAAAUUAGAGUGUUCACGGCAGGCAAACGCCUUGAAUAUAUUAGCAUGGAAUAAUAACAUAGGAUCUUCGUCCUAUUUUGUUGGUUUCUAGGGCUAAGAUAAUGAUUAAUAGGGAUAAUUGGGGGCAUCUGUAUCAACGCGUCAGAGGUGGAAUUCUUGGAUUGCGUUGCGACAAACUACUGCGAAAGCAUUUGCCAAGGAUGUUUUCAUUGA